UUAUUUUGUCAUUAGCGACAACAUUAGAAAUUCAACGAAUCGGAUAAAAAAGUCAAAGUAGUAGAAAUUAAUUUCUUAGCAGUGCUGAGAUUUUAUUAUGGAUAAAUAGAAAUUAUGAUUUUUAUGGAGAUUAGUAUGGAAAUGUAACUUUUUCCCUUAUGUUAGUUUAUGUAAUUUUUAUGUUCAAGGGCAAUAUAGUAAAUUCAUAUAUUAUUAGAGAUAAGUAAGGCUUAAUAAAAAGCUUUAGAAUACAUAGAUGAUAACUCACUCUUCUCUCUCCUUAGUGUCUCUCUCUCGUACCCAAACCCGCACUAGGAAUGAACCAAAUUUUUAUUCUUCAAUUUUCUCAAUAAUUUGCAAGGAAGCUAAGCUAAGUUUGAAGCUAAUACAGGUGGUAAUUUAGAGGAAGAAUCAAUGGCCUUCGAUCACCGAGCUAAGUUCCACUCAGAUUGACCGGCACACCUAAAUCAAAAAUCAAGGUAAAGACAAAGACAAGGCUGAACAACAGUGAGUGAUGAGCUUGGUGAAGAUUGUACAUAUCCAAUCGUCUAAGCCUAUAAGGUUGUGAUCUUCGAGACACCACUAACACCUUUUUGGUUAUGUCAUCAGACAAAAAAUUUUGAUACGGUAUAUUAUAUAUGUUUUGUAACUAGAUUUUGAGAUCAUAUAUUUUAUAAAAAAAUCUUUAUGCUUAGUAAAAUUUUAAUUAUCAUUGAAAUUUUAUUAAAUGUACUUUUUAUUUUUAAACCCUUU